UCACUUCAUUAUUGGCUGCACCUGCGCAAUCAUGUGAUGCGAUACAUUUUUCAAAUACGUUUUUCAAGACACAGGAGAGGUCGGGUUGAAACAUUACUGAUGUUUCACGUUAAAAAUGGCUCUAAAGAUUGAUGCUAAACAACGUUUGACAUGUUUGAACGAACGUAAAUAGAUUUUUUUUUUACUUUUCGCCGUGACUCCCCCCCCCCCCCCCCGCGCUACUUUUUAGUAGCCUACCGAAGCGCUAACAACUUGGAGUUAUUUGGACAUCAAUUAUGAACUUUGUUGAAAGAAACCACAUUUGUUGUGGACAUGGGAUUCCUGGAAGUGCCAAUGGAUGAAGAUAAUCAAAGGUGUUGGCACAUGGGAUCACAUUAUGAACAUGAGAUGUAAGCACUAUCAGAAGAUGCAGGUCCUCAUCAGGCUCAGCUGGAGAGAACAGCCUCACAAAGACAGGAGGGCUCGCUUGAGUGGAGAGGGCUAUCAGAGGAACUGAACUGCUCAUAGAUGAUUUCUUUUUUUAACCCUUAUUUUACCAGUUCAUACUGUAUUUGGAACUGAAGAACACAUUUACCCAACAUGAACUUCAGUGCGCCAUACUAUAAUAAGGGAUUCCUCAGCCUUUUGUUGUUGACGGGCCAUAUCAUCAACAAAAGACCACAAUGUACCAUAGGAGUUACUGCAAUGACUUACCCAUGAUUGGUCCUAUAUCUCAGGAGCUGAGGAGAUCUCUGUACUAUCAAUCAGUCCUCUGAAAUGGCAGGAGGGGUUCCCUGGCCACCUCCUCCCUAAAGGGCCCACCAUGGAGGAAACCAGAGCUGCCCUAACAAUGAUGAAUGGACAUCAUUAAUGUUGUUAAUCUGUUUACCUUUUUCUCUGGAAUCUGGGAAAAUGAGGGGUCAACAACGAGAGGGAAACGUUCUUACUUCGGCACCCCAGUUCCUGCAAGCCACCCAUUUGGUCUUCAGAACAUCAACAGCCACUACAGAGUGUGCAGGGGACUCAUUAACUACACGUUGACCUGACUGUCUUCUGCACUACGUUCUACUGGAGCACUCCUGCACUACGUUCUACUGGAGCACUCCUGCACUACGUUCUACUGGAGCACUCCUGCACUACGUUCUACUGGAGCACUCCUGCACUAUGUUCUACUGGAGCACUCCUGCACUACGUUCUACUGGAGCACUCCUGCACUACGUUCUACUGGAGCACUCCUGCACUACGUUCUACUGGAGCACUCCUGCACUACGUUCUAUGGAGUUUUAGUUAGGAUUUUUUUUAAUAUCACUAUCCCAAAUUCCUUGACAAAAUAAUCAUGGACUUGUUACAUCUUCUUUAAUUCAUCUUUGAGAUUGGGAAUGGUGAUUAACUUUUCUGCUCUUAAUGGUCUCCUAGAUUAUCUGUCACUUAUCCACACAGUGCGGAGGAAGCAGCUCAUUUUCCAUUGACUACUGUGGCAGUUUUACAGGUUUAUCACCCAAAUUUAACAUGUUAAGGUUCAUUACUUGACCUGUGAACUUGGCUUAAAAUAUGUUUUGUCCUUACAGACAGUCCUUGACUUCUAUUCAUUAUUUGAAUAGUUCUUGAAAAUAAACCCCAGUCCCAUUUUACUCAAACCAAAUGUGUGAUCAGAGCAGGAAGUAGACUUUCUCACACAGACAGGCGUCAGAAUGUUUGACAUGGGACAAGAGAGCAUAAGAAUAAUAUUGAACCUCCAGCACUAUGUUUUGAGCGAAAGCACUGCAGGACCCAGGGUUGUUUCAGGGGACGACGGACAGCAUAAAGAUUAAUCUGCCUUUAGAGCACAGUCACUCUCACCACGUUUGCUUGUCCUGUCAACAUAUAUUUAUACUGCAAACAUACGGAGGGAGCUAAUUAGCUCCUAUCAGACGGUGCACCUUUAAAAACAGGCAUAUAUCAUUGGACAAGAUGGUGAGCCAGCAGAGGCAUAGCUCUGUACUGAGUGUUUGAGUCUGUCCUCUGAACAAACACAGCCCAUGCCCACUGUUGCUGUAGGAGAUGACCACUUGGGUUUUUUAGCCCUCAAUUUUCACAGGUUGUACUUAUUUUUCUUUCCUUUUAUGCAAAACGUCUGUGAAAACACACACAAAGUCCCCAGUCAUGGUUGAUGGUGCUGAUAUUUGUGAUAUUGUAAAUGUGACUGCAUUGGAUGAUUUUAGGACAUUGAUUAAUAAUAUAUUUGUUCCCUUCCUUCCAAGUCACCGACACUGUUAAUGUUUUGCCUAAUGGCGGAACUUGGUGAGAUAAUGUUCAGUCCAGAUAAUCCAUUUUGGCAGUUUGGUGAAAGUAUUCCUUUUCUAAAUACAUGUUUCCCAAGGAUUAACGUGGAGCACGUGUGGAACAUUUUAAAAAGCCCUUUUCUCCUGAAUGGGAUUCUAAAUUUAGCAACAUUCAAAGCAGCAUCCAACUAAAGUGUACGAUACACCAUUUUGAAGUGCAGAGUCUGUACUUUUAUAAAAUGUAAAAAGAAAGCGAAUCACUUAAAUUUGAUACACCCCCCAUAGAGAAAUGCAGACACAUUUGGCACCAAUAUAAUUUAUGUUUCUGAUUUUGAAUGUGUGAAUACUAAAGAUGCACAAAAGAUCUCUGAGUUACAUUUUUCCAUAAUUGUGUUCUGGCAGAUAUUGGAUUCUGGGAGUAUAUUCUGUCCAGGGUGCUGUUUAGGUAAUGAAGGGAGGAUAUUUGGAAAACUUCAGAUAAAGAUUAUUAUUGCUAUGAAGAAAGAAUAUGGCAGUCUGAACAGGAGUGGCCAGUGGUGGCCAUGAGGGUAGAAUGUAUCUCCCCUUUACGUAAAUGCAUACCUAUGGUUUCCAUGAUAUAAUCUACCUGACUCAUAUAUGC
rnacentral:lncRNA from 1 species